AUAACUUGUAAGGUAAUCACUUAGAAUUAUAAUAUAGUUAGGUUUAAUGUUCGACUCCCUCGAAUCAAAUUAAACAUUAAUGAGUAUUCAAGGAUCACAACUCGUCGCACGUUGUGGAUGGUUUUCCACAUACUCCUACUUAUAUGGCCCCCACCAUCAUUACCAACAUAUGAAUCAUUGAUGAUAGUGAAGUUUAGGUUAAAACUUAAAACUAAUUAUAUGGUUUGGUGGAUCCGAGGAAUAAUUUUUAAUUCUGCUGGGGCAGAAAAUUUUUCAAAAGAAAAAGCUGGAAAAGUGAGAUAUACAGUACUUCAAAAUUCAAAUUGUGACAGUGUGUGCAUAGAUCACGGUUACAAGCCAACAGCCAAAAGCCAAAGGCGAUGAGUAAAGAACUUUACGCAGUGUAAAGACGUAAUGACCAGUUUUGCUAAAAGAAAUGGACAGGAAAGAGAAAUAAAGAGAGCGAGAAAAAGAAGGAAAGCAUAAAAGCAAAUAAUUAUGAUGAGGAAACUGAAGGUGUGUAUGCAGAAAUGAAAUGAAGGCAUGCGAGCUUUCCAAGGGAAAUCCAUUCAUGUCCACAACAUGUCGUCGCUGAGCUGAUAGUGGUCAAAUGCAUGGUCCUUUCGUUUUCUAAGAGCAUCUCUUUAAUUUCCUUUCCCGAGUCAGGGUUACGGUACAAAUUCUGCCAUUAGGAUCCUCUCCGGAUUCUUUUGGUAAUGAUCUUGAGAAUUUGUAAAUUGUAUUCGUUUAUUAUACAUUAUGCGGUCAGUUUUUGUCAGCUACUGUUUAUAUUUGAUUUUAAAUAAAAAUAUUUAAAAUAAUUUCUAACCGCACGAUGUACGAUAAACGAAUAUGAUUCACGGAUCAUCAGGAUCCUCACAAAGAAGAUCAGGCGAGAAUCCAGAUUCCAAAUUCUGGACCCUCC
rnacentral:lncRNA from 1 species